CUUUUAAAGGAUAGUAGUCAAUCCACUGGUCUUAGGAGCCACUCACC
rnacentral:tRNA from 1 species